GGGGGCGGUGCUCCGCCUUCUUAAGGGCGCGCGGCCGGGCCGAGGCGCAGCUCGCGGACAGCUGUUCGCGUAAGACUCUGCUAACGGCCUUUGUGUUCCGUUCUUUUUCCUUUUUAUUUUUCAUUUUAAGUGGGGCAGCUGUAUUCAUUCUCUCCGAUCGCCCCCAUCCUUGCCUUCGGCGGGAUUCAGAAGUCAGUUUAUUUUACAGAUUUUAUCAUUACUGCAGGCGCGCGCGCGGGUUGUGUGUGUGUGGGGGGGGUUCCAUGUAAUUUAAUGUGGAACUUUUGAAACCUGCACACACGUGAACCGUAAGAGAAAGCUGCAGAGAUGCUGAGACAUUUACACACGCACGUGCACACACACUCCUCCGCGUCCGGGUCCCGGCCAGACCAUCGAAAGGUACGGCCCUUGCACCAGGGUCGUUUGGAAAUUGACAGAAAUCUCAUCAACAGGAUCAAUUUCUUAGGCAGUAAAAAAAAUAAUAACAGCCUUAAACCCGAGAGCCCUGGUGAACAGUUCCAUCAGGCCGCAGUCACAGCACGCGGAGAGACUCCCGUCGGGCGCGGUCCGCGCUCCGCCUGGCGCUCUGUGUGCGCUAAGUGUCCGAGCAGCCCCGCUGCCCCACGCCGGACUUCGCGAGCGACCUUAACGGUGGCGCAACGCAGCCUUCGGCCACCAGAGGCAACCGGCGUCAGCGGCUAGUCAAAAACUGGCGCUUUUUUCCUGCUUUCCGUGUAGAGACUAUCAACUCCAUCUGUCACAAAAUCAAGGCUAAAUCUCCCCAGAGGCGGAGGGAGCCGGGCUCCCGCGCGCUCAGAGCUGGGCUGGUUGCUCUCCCCCAAGGCCGAGGGGGUCUGGGAGGGCGGGAGUCAGAGCCGCAGCCACGGGGGUGUGUUGCUGCAGAAAGUGCCCCGUGCGUACGGAGGUGCCCAGCCUCGGGGCGCCAGGGCAGCGGGAACCCGGGCUCUGCGAGCUGCAGCGCAAAGCCGAACCUCGCAGAGCCAGGCUGAGAAAUGACAGAUGGAAAAGAUAAUGUAGUCCUUGGCCAGAGCCACCUUGAGAAUCGCUGUGCUAUAUAUACUUGCAAAAAGAAGUGUGAACACAGUUACUUCGUUUGGCUUUGGAGAGAGCUAAGUAAAGACAACAGUCAUAACAGUAACUAUCAACAACAGCGAAAAUACAUGAACAAGCUGGGAUGAAGUGUGUGUCUGGUUAAUACUUCUUAAACUGGGAGAACCAUUAGAAUAACAGAUCUUUAAUGCUGAAAAUUUAUGUCAUGAAAUGUUUUGGGAAAAGAAUUAUGAUCUUAUUGAUUGAAAAAGAUUACAAACCAUCUAAUUCUUUUUAAUGAAAUGUGUAUCCCAGGACUUUAUCAAACAUAUAAUUGGGGAGUUCACAUUCUUAUUUUUAAUCUGCUUUUGUAUUUACCUGCUCAUUUUUCACUGACUUUGGUUCAAUCUAAUCCAAGAAUUCCUUCUACAUGUGCCUGAAAAUGAGUUAUGAAUGAAACGAUUCCAUUUAACUAGGUUAAAACAGAAAACCAAAGAGUUAAUAUAAUGUAGAUUGUAGGCUUUAGUCUAUAAUAGUAUAUCAGUAGUGGUUAUCAGUUGUAACAAAUGCAGCUGGGCAUGGUGGAGCAUGCCUGUCAUCCCAGCCUUCAGGAGGCUGAGGCAGGAGAAUUGCUGACCUUGAACUCACAGCAAACCCUGUUUCAAGAAACAAAAAAUUGUUACAAAUGCAUCUCAUUAAUCAAAUACAAAAUAUACAUUAAGGAAACAGGGAGGACUAUGGGGUUAGGUUGGAAUACUCUGUACUUUCUAAUCUUUCAAUUUAGAGCUUUAUCAUUUAAAGUUUUCAGUUUUAAUAUUCCUUUUUUGCCCAUUAAAAAAUAAGGUAAAUCCAGGUGUGCUGUUUGAAACCAAAAGUUGGUCUCUCUGUGGUAUACAUCUCCCCAAGUGAUUAACUACAUAUAUUUACAUAGUCAUUUUUUGAAUUCACUUACCCACCCCAGAAAUAGUUGAGUGUCCACCUUGGGUCAAGCCUUCUGUCGCGCUUUGUUUUGAGCAGGAAAGUUUGCGAUAGGUAACUUUUUAUCAUAAGCUUUUACUUCAUGCGUAGACAUACAUUUAUUUACCAAAGCCAUUAACACAUUCUUUUCGGCUUCUGAUUUGUUUAAAUAAUUUAAAUUUAUUUAUUUCCGGAGGUCUUGUGUACAUAUAAAAAUAUAAGUGUCUUUAAAAAACAGCAGUAUAGUUGACAGUGUAUUUUGGAUACUGAUCCAUGUCACUUUAUAAAGAGCUGACAUAUUACUUGUUUGCUUAUCCUUUUUGGUGAGUGCACAGUAUUCCAUUUUAAUGUUUUAUAAGUGUGUUAGCUUUCCACGACAAAGUACCUGAGAAAACAGCUUAAAGGAAGGAAAGACUUAUUUUGGUUUAUGAUUUCAGUGCAUGGCUGGUUGUACCCAUUGCUUUUAGUCCUGCGGCAGGGAGGAAACAUCGUGGCAGAAUGGUAUGUCCAGGGAAAGCUCCUCGCCUCAUGAAAGCAGACAGAGAGAGAGAGAGAGAGAGGAAGAAGAGGAAGAUGAAGAAAGAGGAGGAAGGGGAGGAGGAGGGAGGGAGGGAGCACCAACCUGGACUGGUGGAUUUCCUCCUUCCAGUUUUGCUUCUUUGGGGCCCACCUUAUGGGAACGAUGCUGCUCAUAUUUGGAGUGGGCUCUGCCCUCGGUUUGCCGCUCGCAGUGCCCAUCAUCUUUGGAAACACCCCAGGUGCUCUCAGGCUAACCCAACCCACCGUCAGUAGGAAUCACCGAGUGCCAUAAGUGACAUAAAUAAUAACUACGGAAAUGAAAAUGGAAGUCUUCAGAUGGAGCCCUAAGAGGAAAAGGGCAUUUACUUCUUGCUUACUCGGUGUGUUGUUGUUGGUAAACAUAAUCCUUUGAGAACUGCCAACUGUCUCAAGUCCAGAAGGUGACAAACAGGAGAAUGAGAACCAAUGUGCUGAUGAUGGUAGCAGGGGUGGCUACAAGGAGUCAGGAUCCUUGGUGACAUCGUGUAAUUACUGACCUUACUGACUGACUCUAUGAUGCUCGUUCCCGACCUGUUUGAUGAGAAAUAACAUCUGGAAAGAGCCAAAGAAGUACCUGCAUUUAGUAAGCACUUGGCAAUCACACAGCUCACAUUUGUUACAGUUGUUGAUCUAUAGGCUCUCUGAGAAGCAAUGGGGUCCUCAGCAAAGAGAAGCAUCCUCAGGGUACAGUCAUGAUGUGCAGGAUGAACAUUUCAGUUUCCAGUCUUGUCAUAGAGGGCAGCCAUGAUUCCCUACCCGUGUUCCUGAUGGCCACAUAUCUGGCAAAGUAUGGAGUUGGGCUUAUUGCUGUAUUGUAUCAUCUCUCAAUUCAUGCACAUUUUUAUUCUUUCAUUUAUUCAUUCCUUGAGAGUACUGAGCACCAGGAACGGAGUUGCUACAGGAGAGCUAAAGAGCCAGCUCCAGGUCUUAGAUUCAGACAAGCUUGGAUAUAGGAGCUGGAAACAGCUUUAGAGUUUAUGCUACUGAGCAAUCACUCAUUUUGGAGAUGAUUU
ensembl:lncRNA